AGGGGUAUAGCUCAGUGGUGGAGUGCUUGCCUUGAAUGUGAAAGAUGCCCUGGGUUGAAUCCCCAGUGCUUCAA
rnacentral:tRNA from 1 species